ensembl:lncRNA
AUCUCAGCAGCUUAGCUGUCAGGUCAGGCAUCUGUCUCCUAUAGAUCCAGGUCUCUAUCAUCUCAGCAGCUUAGCCAGCAGGUCAGGUCAGGCAUCUGUCUCCUAUAGAUCCAGGUCUCUAUCAUCUCAGCAGCUUAGCUGUCAGGUCAGGCAUCUGUCUCCUAUAGAUCCAGGUCUCUAUCAUCUCAGCAGCUUAGCCAGCAGGUCAGGGGGUUCCAGGCGUCUGUCACCACGUAUACUGUAGGCCUCUCACACCAGCAAAUCCAGACACACACACACACUAUGUGGAUCAUGUCCCCUCUGUACUUUGAUGGCAUCGUGUUAAACUCUUCAGUCGACCACAGGGAUGUCUGACCCGAC